GCGACUUGCUUCUCUUGAGAGCGGCGGACGGGUGAGUAAUGCCUAGGAAUCUGCCUGGUAGUGGGGGAUAACGCUCGGAAACGGACGCUAAUACCGCAUACGUCCUACGGGAGAAAGCAGGGGACCUUCGGGCCUUGCGCUAUCAGAUGAGCCUAGGUCGGAUUAGCUAGUUGGUGAGGUAAUGGCUCACCAAGGCGACGAUCCGUAACUGGUCUGAGAGGAUGAUCAGUCACACUGGAACUGAGACACGGUCCAGACUCCUACGGGAGGCAGCAGUGGGGAAUAUUGGACAAUGGGCGAAAGCCUGAUCCAGCCAUGCCGCGUGUGUGAAGAAGGUCUUCGGAUUGUAAAGCACUUUAAGUUGGGAGGAAGGGCAGUAACCUAAUACGUUAUUGUUUUGACGUUACCGACAGAAUAAGCACCGGCUAACUCUGUGCCAGCAGCCGCGGUAAUACAGAGGGUGCAAGCGUUAAUCGGAAUUACUGGGCGUAAAGCGCGCGUAGGUGGUUUGUUAAGUUGAAUGUGAAAUCCCCGGGCUCAACCUGGGAACUGCAUCCAAAACUGGCAAGCUAGAGUAGGGCAGAGGGUGGUGGAAUUUCCUGUGUAGCGGUGAAAUGCGUAGAUAUAGGAAGGAACACCAGUGGCGAAGGCGACCACCUGGGCUCAUACUGACACUGAGGUGCGAAAGCGUGUGGAGCAAACAGGAUUAGAUACCCUGGUAGUCCACGCCGUAAACGAUGUCACUAGCCGUUGGAAUCCUUGAGAUUUUAGUGGCGCAGCUAACGCAUUAAGUUGACCGCCUGGGGAGUACGGCCGCAAGGUUAAACUCAAAUGAUUGACGGGCGCCGCACAAGCGGUGGAGCAUGUGUUAUUCGAGCACGACGAGACCUUACCAGGGCUGACAUCCAAUGAAUC
rnacentral:rRNA from 1 species